GCAUUAGCUAGUUGGUAAGGUAACGGCUUACCAAGGCAACGAUGCAUAGCCGACCUGAGAGGGUGAUCGGCCACACUGGAACUGAGACACGGUCCAGACUCCUACGGGAGGCAGCAGUAGGGAAUCUUCCGCAAUGGGCGAAAGCCUGACGGAGCAACGCCGCGUGAGUGAUGAAGGUCUUCGGAUCGUAAAACUCUGUUAUUAGGGAAGAACAUAUGUGUAAGUAACUGUGCACAUCUUGACGGUACCUAAUCAGAAAGCCACGGCUAACUACGUGCCAGCAGCCGCGGUAAUACGUAGGUGGCAAGCGUUAUCCGGAAUUAUUGGGCGUAAAGCGCGCGUAGGCGGUUUUUUAAGUCUGAUGUGAAAGCCCACGGCUCAACCGUGGAGGGUCAUUGGAAACUGGAAAACUUGAGUGCAGAAGAGGAAAGUGGAAUUCCAUGUGUAGCGGUGAAAUGCGC
rnacentral:rRNA from 1 species